rnacentral:lncRNA from 1 species
CUCAACUCACCUAUAAGCCCCGCCUACUUACAACGUCACGUCACAACCAUGACAACGUGUAGUAACAAUGGUCAAACUUUUAUGAAUUUAAACCUGUUAUGUCUUCAAAUUGGUAAUUUAUAUACCAUGUUUAUCAAAUGUUAUUAAUCAAAUUCAUUUUCCCUUUCUAAUUCCUUAAAUUGUCAAUGCUUACCGCCUAGACUACGCUCAUAGGGAAAUACCCCAAAAUGGUACCCCAAGGGGGAAAUUCCUAACACUUUUUUUUUAAUAAUAUUUGUUUCAUAU